AUCCCUUCGAGAACAUCCGAUAAAAUUAGAAUGAUAGAGAGAAGAUUAGCAUGGCUCCUGCUCAAGGAUGACAUGCACAAAUUGAGAAAUGGUCUAAAUUUUU